AGGAAAUAUUAUGGGUUCUUUUACUCUUUCCUGUCCUUUUUCCUUCCAUGAUCAGAUGAGAUGCCUUUUUUCAACGGCAGAGAGUCUGUCUCGUCAGUGUUACCUCUCCUUCAGAUUUCAGGCUUUAGAGGGGAAGGAUGUCUAUAUUCUUUAUUUCUGAAAUGUUUCCUAAACAGGUGCUCACGGGCAUGGUAACGGAUCAACACCUGUUGAAUUAGGACAGAGUCAUCAUUUCCCCAACUGGAUAUGGCCCCUGGAAGGCUGGCACAUGAAAUCAGAGGGGGCUUUGGUCUAAUACAUUCACUGAAUUCUUCCAAAAGACUUCCCUUCACUUGGUUAGGAGAAAUUUCCCCUAAAUUCCCUUGGCUUCAUUCAUUACUUUAUCUUUUCUUUUGCAACAGGGGGCACAGAGUAGAAAGAAUGAAAUACAAAUAAACAUACGCUUUUAUUCCAAAUCAGCCAAGUCUUAGCCUGUUCCUGGCAUCCAGGUGGAUCUGGCUGGCACCAGCAGAGGCCUUGUGUCACCCAGAAGAGACUAUCAAAACCCAACUAGAGGCUGUUUUGUUCUUUUUUCUUUCUUUUGGUAAAUGUUUGUAACUGGGAAGUCAAGCAAAUUCUCACAUCAAAAUUCACAGAAUGUAAGACCCUGAGAGCUUAAAGGAUGUCAGCAACGACCAAUUCCAUCUCCCUGGGUUACAGAUAAGGAACUGGGAGGAGAGGGUUAUAAUUUAAUCAGCAUACCCCCAGAAGUUAUUUCAACAUGGGCAGAAUCAACCUGCACGUACCUUUCGGGUACUGGAGUAGCACCAUGACAAGAGAUGGAGAAGCAUAAGGAAAGUAGGUCUUGAAUGUAAACUUCGGCUACAAUGGAAUCAAAAAUUCAAAACCAUUUGAGCAUUAGCAUUGGAAAGGGUAUUAAGAAAAUACAAAAUCUCUCAUCCUCUGCCCCAAAAAGACCCUCUAAGUACAUACGUGGUCAGAAUGUUUUCUUACACACCUAUCAACUUCUGGGACUUAAGAAAAAUAAAGUUAUGUUCCUGAUGUCUUUAUAUCAGUUCUUUACCUCACAUGAACCCAAUUAUAUACAUAAAUCUUCUAUUUAAGUGAGAGUUUCCAACACAGUUGUGAGAUGGCUUUUUAACAAUCAAAGUAUAAAACAACAAGGGUGCUCACAAUACUUUGAGGACCAAAGUGCUAUACUAUCUACGCCCUCAGAAGACACAGAAGUUUUGAAGUACUUUUGUAAAAAGUUGAGGUAAAAUCUAUAAGCAGUGAAGUGCAAGGGCUUUAAGUGUACAAUUUGAUGACUUUUGGCAAACGUGUAAAUCCAAUGUGACCAUCAUUCCAGUGAAGACAUAAAACAUUUCAAUCACCCCAGAAAGUUUCCUUGUGGCUGUUAUAGUCAACCCCUGCAUCCCACUCUGUCAACCAAUAUUUUUAUUUUGACAAGAGAGAUUAGUUUUGUAUAUUCUUGAAUUUUUCACAUAAAUAGAAUCCUAAGAGUAUGUAUUUUUGUGUGUGUCUGGCUUCUGGCUCAGUAUGUUCCUUUGAGACUCAUCCAUGUUACUGGGUAUAAGUAGUUCAUUUAUUGAAAAACUGCUCUGAAGUAGCCACUCUAUGAAUGUACCAUAAUCUGUUUAUUGAUUUUCCCAUUGAUAGGCAUUUGGGUUGUUUCCAGUUUGGAGCUAUUGUGGAUACGUCCUGUCAUUUCUCUUGGGUAAACACCACUGGAAUGGAAUUAGCAGGUCCUAGAGUAGAUAUUUGUUUAACUUUAAUAAGAAACUGCCAUGUAAUUUUUCAAAGUGGUUGUACCACUUCACACUCCCAUCAGCAAUUUAUGAGAAUUUUGGUUACUCCAUAUACUUGUGAAAGUUUGGUAUUGUCAAUCUUAUUAAUUUUAGCAGUAUCAGUGAGUGUGAAAUGUUGCCUUAUUAUCACUUUACUAUUCAUUUUCCUCAUGUGUUUACUGCCGACUUAUGCAUAUUUUUUGAAGUGUGUAUUCUUUUGUCCAUUUUUAAAAGCGAGUUGUUUCUUAUGUUCUUGACUUGUAAGAGAUCUUUAUAUAUUCUGGGUACAAGUCCCCUGUCAGAUAUAUGUAUUGAGACUAUUUUUUUACCUGCUGGUGAAUUGCUUUUUCAUUUUCUUAAGGAUGUCUACAAAGACCAGAAGUUUUAAAUUCUGAUGAAGUUCAAUUUAUCCAUUUUUCUCAUAUUGGUAGGGCUUUUCUGCAUCCUUCUGAGAAAUCUUAGAUUAUCCCAAUGUCAAAAAAUAUAUUCUCUUCAUUCUAGGAGCUUUAUGGCUUUAGCAUUUAUUUUGAAGUCUAUGAUCCAUCUCAAAUUAAUUUUUGUGUUUGUGAAGCAGAAGUUCAUUUUUUCCUAUCUGGAUAUCCACUUGUUUCAGUGCCAUUUGUUGAAAACCUUCCUGUCCCCUUUGAAUUUCCUGCCAUCUCUGUCAAAAAUCAGUUGGCUAUGUAUAUUGUAUAGAUCUAUUUCUAGACACUAUUCUGUUCCACUGAUCUAUCCUUUUGCCAGUACCUCACUGUCUUGGUCUUGAGUACUGUAGCUUAAAGUUUUCAAAUCAGGUAGUUUGAAUCCUCUUAAUUUUUCUUUUCUUUUCUUUUCUUUUUUUGCCUUUGAAAUCUUUUAUUGUCACUUUGGUUAAGAAAUAAGUAUUGUCUCACAGUGACCUAUGAUCUUAUUUGACCAAGUGUUUUAAAACUUGUUGACAAACUUCCUGAAUAUCAAAAUUUAACUAAAGUUCUUUUGAUUUCCAGCUAACUUUGGGAUACUUUAGAGAGCCCCUGAGGUAUCUCAAAGAGAAAUACUGAACUAGGAUUAUUUCGUAUGUUAAAUGUGAUCAGAUGUUUAACCAUGCCUUUUAAGUCUUUUGUCAUUUAUAGAUAUUUUUGUACUCUGAUGCUGUUACAAAAAGUGCUUUAUCAUCAAGGAGAUUUACAGAAAGGCUAUGGAAGCCUUUACAACAGUUCCACAUCAAGAUGAUGGCUACGCGAAGAUUCCAGCACAUACUGACUUAAAACAAGGAGCGUCCUGCCCCUGGGCCCCUGGAUCAGGCAUCCAGAGAUCUUUACUCCCUGACAGGCAGGGUCAAUGUCCCACUCAGCCUUGAAGCAGUUACAGAAGGUGGACUACUGCCCCUCUGCUUCCCAUAAGAAUAUGGGAGUCUGAUUUUUUUUUUCUUUUGUUUUUCAAAAUUGUUCUGGCUACUGUAGGUCCUCUGCAUUUUCAUAUAAGUUUUAGAAUCAGCCUGUCGAUUUCUGUUUUGAAAACCGUGGUGGAGUUUUAACUAGGGUUACAUUGAAUCAGGCAUCUCAACAAUUCGUGAAUAUGGUUUCUCUCUUUACAUGCUUAAGUUUUCUUUAGUUCCUCUCAGCAAUGUUUUGUAGUUUUCCGAGUAGAGGUCUUACACACCUUUUGUUAAAUUUAUUCCCAAGUAUUUUAUGUGCGACAGUGGAUUUGUCUAUUUCUCUUUUUACUUCUGGCAGCUUUUGCUUUGCAUAUUUCAGAACUCUGUUAUUAGGCAUAUAUCCAUUUGUAAUUGGCAUUUCUCCUGAUGAACUAUUUCAUCACUAUAAAAUGUAUCUCUUUUUGUCUGGUCAUACUUCUUAUCUUGAAACCUAAUCCAUCUGCUGCUAGUAGAGCCAUACCAGCUUUCUUGUGCUUAUUAUUUACAUAACAUAUCUCUUUCCUUCCUUUUAAUAUAUCUGCAUCUUUAUAAUUAGAAUGGGUCUCUGGAAAACAACAGAUAGUGGGUCUUGGUUUUCAUCCAGUCUGACAUAUUUUCUUUUUUACUAGUAUAGUUGAUUUUCACUUAGUUUUUAUAAUUCAUGGACUUGUAGGUAUAUUUGGGUUUAUUUUUUGAUAUUAGUUUCUUUUGCCCCAUCUGUUUUUUUUGUUCCUCUGGCAGCCCACAGCUCUGUCUUUUGACACCUCAACUCGGUCAGACUGUGCCUUGAGUGCUGGCCACCCUCUGACCCCCCCGCCCCCAAACCCCCCUCCCACCCCUCACAUGGCAGCCCUCAGGGAAAAGUUAGAAGAUUACCCAGUGUGGUUUCCUUUUUCAAGGGCUGAAUCCCCUCCAGUUUUUAUCUGCUUUUUGGGUUGCUCUCCAGGACUUUCAGAUAGUUUUAAAAAAUACUUUCCCCAGAGUUCAUAAUUUUUAUCUGUGGGAGAUUUAGUCUAGUACAUUAUUAAACUCUGCCACUACUGGAACCAGAACUUGAAGGGAUGUGCUGUACUGGAGUCAUCACGCAAACUCAGAAAAGAAGCUUGUCAUGACAGCCUUAAGUUUUUGCCUACUAGUCCUAUUGGGCACAUGGAUGGGGCUGCACUGUGCUCGCCAAAUAAAACAAGGGGGAGAGGAAAGGAUAAAAAGAGAAUGAGAAGCACUGAAGGUAAACAUUUCUGACAAUGGGAAAGAAUGUGGAUUAAUGGGAUUUCUCAUAAACUGCUGGGGGGAGGGACUUCCCUGGCAGUCCAGUGGUGAAGACUUCGCCUUCCAAUGCAGGGGAUGUGGGUUCAAUCCCUGGUCCCUGAGCUAAGAUCCCACAUGCCUCCAAGCCAAAAACCAAAACGUAAAACAGAAGCAAUAUUGUAACAAAUUCAGUAAAAGACUUUAAAAGUGGCCCACAUCAAAAAACAAACAAAAACCCACUGCGGGGGGAACACCACCCCUGACAACAAAACUGCUGGGGGGAAUGUAAAUUGGCACAACCAGGUAUGGAAACGAUUUAGCAGUAUCUGCCAAAGCACACCUAAUAACCAGCACGUCCAGUCCCAAGUAUAUGCCCCAGAAUGUUCGGAGCAGCGCUGUUUAUGAAAGACAACAAAAUCUGGAAAUAAUCUAAAUGCCCACCACCAGGAAGGUGGCUACACUGUGGUACACGUUCCCAACAGAGCACUAACCACCACUCCCUACCACGACCACGCACAGCAUAGAGCAAUCCUGGCAACACGCUGCCGGAAAGAACAAGGCUCAAAAGACUGCAUCUGGUGUGCUUCUCUUAUCUGUUACUUGUUUUAUAAAGUGCAAAACCAAUCACAAGUAAAGAAAACACAGUUUAGCAAUCAUACAUACGUGAUCAAGCUAUUUUCAGAAAAAGCAAAGGAAUGAAAAACAAAAUCAAAACAGCAGUUACCUGUGGGGAGAAAGUCAGGGUGAUAGGCUAGGGAAGGAGCACGUGGAUACCUAAAAGUCACUGCUAGUGGGCCAGGUCUUGUUGGGUGUCAGGCUGGUAGAUAUUCAUUUAUUAAGAAUGAAUAUGUGGAUGAAUGAAUAAAACACAGAAAGAAAAGAGGGUCAUGCAUCAGGGACUAUGAUGAAUCCACAGAGGGGCACUCAGGAAGGCAGGGGACUGAUGACGAGAAUGGCAGCGACUAGAAAGGCAGGCAAUCAGGAACAGCCCCAGGAAAAGAAAUGACAGAACACGUGUGGAUGAAGGCAUUUGCAAAGUUAAGAGGUUAUUGCUCUCGGAUCCUGAGCCUAAGGUGAGGGCAGUGAAGUCCGGUUUCUUUUUGGACCCCUGCCCUGCCUUCCACCGGAACCCAGUCUGUGGCCCUCACACCGCUAGACACAUGUAGCCUGGGAAGGGUACUAUUUUAAAUUAAAAGUGACUGUAAGUCCAGUUCAACCAGUCUAAAUCUAAAGCGCUAAGGCCAACCCUGCGAUGCAGGGGAAAAACUGGUAAGAAAAACAGACUCAAGCUAAUGGCACAGAGCAAUACUUCUUUCAUUACUGCCCUCCACCCUACCCGAGAUCUGUUCCAGGAGUCAAAGGCACAGGUUUUCUAGAGGUCAGUUCCUAAUUGGAAAUGCAAAGAAUGUUCAGGGCGGGUAAAAGAUACUUAUAGUUAUGCCUCAAAGUAAGCGUGAGGGCCAGCCAGUGCCUCUCAGCAGAGCUCUCCUCCCAGGUUCCAGGCUGGGUUCACUGAUAAUGCUGUUUGCUACAGUCUAGCUAACUUCCCUAGGGAAAGAGAAGAUGAGGGAAAAUCAUAAACACUUAUCACUGCCUUAAAAAACAGAAACAUCUGCUAAAACCUGAGGGGUUUCUUGGCGUGGGGGUGUAUGGGAUUUCAGUACAGCCAGGCAUCACAGCACGGCUCUCCUAGGUCAAACUGCAGAAAGCACCCCAAGGGGCCAUGACCUAUCCCACAGGAAAGGGCAGUGGACUCGGGCACCUGAACAGGCAAAGCACCACACAGACUGAAGUCUGCAGCCAUCAGACGUACAGGCCAGUUGGAAUGCCCGAAGGCGAAAGCUCUCUGGUAGAGAAGGUUCCUGUUUCCCAGGUCACCCUAACUGAUCAGCUGCCUCUGCUGACGGCCCCCCAGUGCAAGUCUUCCUGCCGGUCCCCAGGCCCGGCUUCUUGCUGACUGACUGAAUCCAACUCACGCCUCUUGGUCACGGCCAUUCCUGGCUCCUCCUCUACAAUGAUUCAAAUCUUUCCUUGCCACUCUCACUGUCUCCUUUGUCUCUGGGAACCCAGUUCACAUUUAGGUCUCCGAUAUGAAUGGAAACUAAUAAUGAAGAAUGCUAUGUAUUGCUUUGUAAUAAGUGGCAUUUCCUUCUUAGCACAUGCCAUAUAGACUCCAGAAUACCUGUCUCUGGCCUGGGAGGGGCAGAGUCCUGCUGGACAAACAGCACACAACACAGGGCCCGAAAGUUCACCCUCUGGGGCGGCACAUACUGGCAUGGCAGAGUUCUCUGCACAGCAGUAGAGAAAUGCUUCUGGGUACCACGACGCUGGACAGAUAGGAACCAUCUUGAUUUACUUUCCAUGAAAAUGGUUUUAUCUUUGCUGGGGUAUUCAUUUGGAAGCUUUCUUUUUGAACAAAACAGUCUAUCAAAAUCACUGAAAAUAAAGUGCUCCUUUCUGGUGAUUAAUCAAAUACUUCUUAACAGCUUCUUUUUCUUUGGGGGAAUGAAUAAUAUCUGCAAUAUAACGAACCUGCUUGUCUUCUUCUUCCAGAGCUUCUACAAAGCAUCGUGUAAACACUUGAAUAGUGGCCAGUACUUCUGGGGCUCCAUCGGUUUCCAGGAGUGCGUACCUAAGCAAUGCAAACCCAGAUCACAACACAUUCAGUGAUUAAUCUGGCAAACACGUGAACCUGAACAUGUAAAAGGGAAAAAUGGAAACAUUCUUUUUGUGCCAUAAGCUUCAACAGUAUCUCAGCUCAUCAGAUUUCAGGCCUUGCGUGAAAGCAAGAGAAAUCUGUCACUCCCUUUUCUAAAGAUUUUCUUUAAAAUUGCAAUGUGCAGAGCUCCCUUUCUUGGUUUUUAAAUUAUUAAGCACUUCGUAUCCCUUCCACAUGGGCCUGGAAUGCUCUUUACAAAUAUUUGCACACUGCAUGCCCAGAAAUGCAACGUUCAUAGAACUUUUGCUUUUGCAAGUAGAGAAAGAGAUGCCCCAGGGGUUAAAAUGGCUCAGUCAAAUCCACCCAGCAAAGUGGUGGAAGAACCUGCAUAUUGCUGAUUUGGUUUCUAUUUUCACACAACUAACUUUUCUUUAUGUUUGUUUAAACAACAACAACAAAAAUCAACUGAAACUUUGAUAGCUUUAAACUAAAAACAGCAUUCUGACUUACUUCUUUGCUCAUUUAGCUUAAAGCUGGUAUGUUUCAAGACCAAAGUGUUGGAUUACUUGCUAUUGUAAAAAUUCCUUUCCCCAGUGUCUUCUGUCUGCCGUGGGGGCUCUAUUUGCUGAGUACGUGGGGGAUGGGAUAAAAAGGGCAGAUACCCUGGCUGCACCAGCACCCAGAAAAGAGGCUGGAAACCCUACCCGGGUGGCAAGAUCCCUGCGAGGGGUCCGGCCCCCUGCUAACUGUCAGCUACAACCCAGCCCGGUGUCCAGCGGUCUCCUCAUCUUUCAUCAUUGUAAAUCCAAUGCAUUUACCAAGAAGUUCUGGUAUUUGCAGAAUAAAAAUCAGUGUGUUGUAAGAUAACACGCAUAGCUGAUUUUGCCUUUCAGAAGAGCUCUGUUAAGAAUGGCAUUAUUCACUUAUUACUCUUCGUUUUCCUUAGCUUUAAAAUCCUUUAAAAAGAUUGGUCAGCCCUCAUGUGGUGAAGGGAGAACACUACUACCCUUUAUUUUGAGUUGAGAAACAUUCUACACAAAUACUGAAUGAUGUAAAAUCUAUUUCAAUUCUGCUUUUCUACCAUUAUUAUUAGAAUUUUAAAAGGUCAAAAAAAGAUAGUUAUCUUAAUUUUUAGGCACUGGCUUUUAAAUAUACAUUGACAUUUGGGUUUUCCCAAAAAGCUCAGCAGGAGGGGAUGGAAUCAGAAACUAAUUCCCCCAUGGUACAGCCAGAGACUACCACAGAAUUUUUUAUUCAUAUCUGGAGGCUGAACAUAUUCAGAGCAAUUACUAGCAGAAACAGCACCAUAUCUACCUGAACAUUUCAUCAACAGCUCUGAAUAUGGCAGGGUGGCAGGCAGCUUCAGGCUGUAAAGGAAAAGACCAUGAGAAAGUAAAAUAUCAGAAGCAUUUCAUCAAUAAUGACUUGCCCUUAUCAGGCAAAUGAGUUGUCCACAUCUGCUGGUGUCUAGAAAAUGGGUAUAUUCCUUUGAGUUAGAAAAAAAGAACAACCAGUUCAAAGCAAAAGCCCUACAUACAAAUACAAACAGUAGUUCUCCUGGGGCAAGCGGAUUGUGGGCAACCUUUAUUUCUUCUUUAUACACUGUACAUCCUACAUUUUCAACAAUAAGCCCAUAUGAUGCAGAAAAAAGAGUCAAUAAGUAUCAUGGAACACUGAAAAAUACCUUCUACAGGCAUGCUGUAAUGAAGACACAGAGCCUACCUGUGUUGCUAGUUUUACAUAAUGUGCCCUGUGUGUCUGACCUCCUCACAUGACUUAAAAGUGCCUCAAAGUCAAAUCUAGGCCUGCUGUCUUUUCAUUCCUGCUUAUUAGGAAAUGAGUACAUAAUAAUUUAGAAUUAUUACUGAGGAAAGCAGUGGCCACUACCAUGCCAGACUAAAUAUUACAUCUUAGUGCACUAUGAAUUUAGCAGCUUAAAUUAUUUAGGAUGAAAAAGGAAUAAAGAUACCAUCAUCUUGAAUGAUGAAAGCAAUCUAAUUUAUUUCACAAAUAUUUUUAUGAAAGGUUUUGAUGGUUUAAAUCUGCAGAAGCCGACCUACUAUGGCCUGGGUGGGGCUUUGGUGGGCCUGAUCCAGAUUCCAUAUCUUCUUGGCCAGAGCUCAAAGCAUGAAAUUAAGCCAGAGGAAGAUGCCAUUUGGGUUCUGAAAUAGAUAUUUUACAGUAGCAUCCAAAGGUUAGUGAAUUAGGCUCUAUAGGGAAUUUCUUUGAGUCAUAUUGAACUUUAUAUGACUAGCUUUGGGAAACAUUUUUUUCAUACCCCCUCAACAAGAAAAACAGAAAAAAGAAGAUAUGCAUUUUCUCUUGUUUUCUAGCCCAAGCUGAAAAAAGGAAUGGUGCCUCUUUCAUAGUCUUCUGUACUUUGCUCUGUGCUGACAUUUUGAGUUGUAACAUUGAACGUGUGCCAUCUAGUGUUCACACACCGCCAUUACAGGCUGUUACAGAAGGCUCCAGGCAAGAGCACUGCCACUUGUUAAAAUGAUGGGAUAAUUCCUUUUAUUUGAAGAGAAAGAUUUGUGAUAAGUUACAAAUCUCUACUUUCUGAGUAAUCCAUACUCCCUAAUCCUUCACUGAUGUCCAUUUUUAUCUAAAAGAAACCAACUAAAAUUUUUCAUAGAUAAAUUCAUUAUAUACUCAAAGUAAUUUGGCAGAAUAAUGGUUCAACAGAAGAGAGGCAGAAUAUUUUUUUGGCUUUGAUCUCAGGCAAGUCAGUUAAUCUUCCUGCUUCUCAGCCUCACUGUAAAUAAUAACAGUUAUUAAAAGGUCACUGGAUAUAUGCCCAGAAAAUAUCAUGGAAGUUUCUAUGUAUUCAUAAUUGAAAAAUCAAACAAGAAGGGAAAAGCAAACUGCAUGCCUUGAAGAAAUGUGAUUCAUUAAAUUUGCCAAAAAGAUUUUUCAAAGUUUCAUAUAUAGACAAUAUGGCUCUUGAAUAAGAAUGUUUAAGACCAAUCAACAUUGUUAUGUGACACACAGAGCCUAAAAAUGCACUGAUAGAAAAUAAGACUAAAAUUGAGAAUGGUAAAAUAGAACCAUUCCCUGUGUUCUAAACCGUCUAACUACUCCAGAACCACUGUAUAAAUUUGAUGCUAGUAGGAAAUCAAUCAAUACUGAUUACAGGGAUUUCCAAAUGGCAAAGAAAAUGCCGAUCCAAUGUGUAGAACAGGGCUACCUUGAAAAGCAAGGGGGAAAGCAAGAAAGUUCUAACUCAGUUUGUUGAAAGAGGACAAGAGCUUGGACAUGCUCUUCUUUUAUGUGUUUUCUAGCAAAACAGCUCAAUCAGAUGUUUUAAAUAUCUACAGGCUGUGUGGAAUCUGUCUCUUCUCUCCAUGCCGAUGGACUCUCCUCUUAGGCUUCUCUCUGUCCAGAUAUUUCAGACCUUUGGUUGCUCUCAACCUGCUUCCACAACCUGUUUUAGCUUUCAAAACAGCUAAGAUUCCAGGAGGCAGGGGAACCCUACUGAACCUGCAGUGGCAGAGAUUUUGAUUUAAAAACCAGUCUCCCUCACCACUCCAGGGUUGUGAACAGCUCUUUAUCAUCUGCAGCCUUUACUGAUGGUUUUAAAAAUGACACUCUUCACACUUCCCAAGUGCAUAAUUUCAGGGUCAUUGAGUCCCCUCAAGAAGCCUGGAGUGCUCACAGGCCAGGCAUGUGUCCCAGUGACAUCACAUCACAAAACAAACUUAAGCUGCUUUUCUUAUCAAGGGAAUCCUCCAAAUAGAAUUAAAGCCUUAAUUUAUGCUUCUCUGGAAGCCAUAAAUUCCCCCCCUAAAUCUUUACAGCAUCCAUGUGAGGGAAGAGGCAAACAUUUAACCCCUCUCUGUCCUGUCUGAUUUUUAAAAUGGGACCCUAUAGUAACACAACAGGUCACUCUGCAACCCAGAGCUCCGGACCCUAGCUCUGAAGCCCCACAAUCUGGGCAAUUAUCUUUCCUGUUAAAAUGAGGACAGAAAAGAAAACCUUUCUUGGGUUCCAUCUGUUUGCUUUUCUCCAUCCUACCAGAAUCUGUUCCUUCUCAAGCUCUUCUCUUCUCCAUCUGGUCUAAUGAUUUCCGUGUACAGAUGAUUUCAACUCUAGGGAAACUAUGUUACCAGGAGGCCAUCAACAACAGGAGUUGUGCCCUUCGUCCCUCCCUUCUGCUCCCCCCAAUUCUUUCACUAAUGUCAGACAAUGAACAGAAGAUGAUAAUGGAGAGCUCCGGACUCUGGUUUCCUUUCCUUAUGGACCAGAUUGUUCUGGGGUGCACAUCUCUUUCCCUCUCCCACAGCUACCCAGAACAUCAUUGCUUAUUUCCUCUCUGCCCAGGACAGCCCAUUCCCAUCCCUCAAAAAGACAAGGGAAGACCAAGCAACACAGAGAAGUGCACAGCGGCCACGUUAUCUAGGCCUGCCUUGUAGGCAGAGGUGAGGGAGAAGCCAGCUGUCACUCUGUGCUGUAAGCUGUACAAAUAACAUCAAUGCUCACUCUCUGUCCUUAGUGUGUAACCUGUUAUUUUCACCCCAAUUCAUCAAUGAUUAUUACAAGCCACCUGUCACUUGAAAGAGGCCUGAGAACACAGAAGAACAGAAUUCUCAGGAAGAAAUCUUUCCUUUUUUCCUAUCAUUUUUUGAUUCCCUGUGUGUGCGAGAAGAGAAAGAGUAUGGGGAGAGCAGAGAAAGAGAUAGAAUACAGACCAGAAAGGGAAAUUACACUAUGAUUUGAGGUAAUUCACAGAGAAAAGUGAACGCCUCUUAUAAAAAACAAAAAGGCAGUGAAGACACAGGAAAAAAAAUUCUCAAGCCUUCUUCAUUUAUCCCCCUUCACAGAUAUUCUUCCUAAAAAAAAUAGAGAAGUUUCAGGUGAGAAAUAAACUGAAGUUCCGUAAGCUUGGGAUAGAUUCUCUUUCAUAAUCUAUGUUUAUGUAGUUUUAUGUAGUUUACUCCGGAAUGGAGGUUUUUUUUUUUUAAAUCCAUGGCUGAUGAGACGCUUUCUUUCCACUUUACCCAACAGCUGGCAAUCACGUCCCACUGUGUAGCUGACUCUUCGAAACCCUUGACAAGCAGGAGCUCUUGUGUCAAUAUAUUGGCUAUGAUUGCUAUCUGGAGAAUGAAAACAAGAAUGCAUCUUAUCUCAUAUGAGAGAGGUCAAGGAGGACACUGAGCUAUCUUACAGGUGAAAGCAGCAUGGACGCUGGCGACUGCGACACCAUGCGUGGUCACCUGGGAGGCCCCGGAACGGGAAGGCAAAGAGGAGACUGGGAAACAGGGAGAAGGCCAGCACGGCCAUGGUGGCACACGUGAGCGGGCAGGCAGUGAUCAGUACCCAGAAAGAGAACUGGGAUCCUGGACUAGGAUUCUCUUACACAGCCACCAAUAUGAAAGAGAAAGAAAGAAAACAGCAAGUUCUAACCGAAUUAAACAAAUAGAAGGUGCUGGAGGUGGGGCUUGUGUAAACUCAGCCGACCUCAGUGGACUCUAUGCAGGGAUUCACCCCGCCCCCAACACAAGUCUGCUCAGCAGGGAGGUGAACACUCUCUCCCGCCCAGUUUCCUGGCCACCAACUUAAGAUCUGACGGUUCACGAUCUCUCUCUCAACUAAUUUUCUCCAUCUGUACAAUAGGAAGCAAAUCUCUGCCCCAUAUCUCCCCUAGGUUACAAAAGCUAAUGAGAAAACAUGUUAGAGCCCACUGAGGUUCUGGUAAGAUAGAGGCCCCAGAAACAUGACACCUCCUGUAGUUUUUAAUUGUUUUUCUCAGAAAGCAUUGGUCUUUAUUCCUGCUCUUACAAAAAUGCACAUAAAUUCCAGAGCUGCCUCCCACAGAGGGGAAACAUCCCUAUUGGUCGGGUUCUGAGGAUGGCCUGAGAACCAGGGCCCCUGACACUGGAUUAGGCAAUGGGGGCCAGUUUGGCCCAGGGAGCCCCCAACUUCCCAGGCCUGAGAAGUUCUGCGUAGAGGGGAGACUGGGCAGCCCCUGCGUGGAGGGAGGGUUCAAGAUUUGCAGGCUGAUACCAAAAGAAAACUGACAAAACUCUUAGUUUUUUUUUUUGUUUUAACCAUUUUUCUGGGGUUUUGUUUUGUAUCUUUUAAGUAUUUUAUUUUUUUCUAGUGAAGGGUUAAAAGUUUAUUUUUUGAAUGCUUUUCUUUGUUAGCUGAUUCCUCCUAUUGUUUAUAAGAUCUUCACUUUUUAAAACUUAACUUUUCAUGUGGAAAUGAGAAAUACUGUUUUAAAAAAUUUGUUGUCCAAAUGUCAAGUCAAUUCUUGUGAAUAUGCAACAUAAGGUGCAGUGGUCAAGUAUAUCUCAAAUCUUGCCUUUUUUUUUUUUUUUUUUUGCCCAUGCCACUCAGCUUACAAGCUCGCAGGAUCUUAGCUCCCCGACCAGGUAUUGAACCCAGGCCACAGCAGUGAAAAUGCCAAGUCCUAACCACUGGACCACCAAGGAAUUCCCUUGCCCUAUUUUUAAUACAUGCUCCAAGUAUGCAGAAAAGCCCCCUACAUUGUAAGGCAUUUCAAAAAUAAAAUGUAGAUAGAUGAUUCUUUUAAAUGGUGCCAAUUGCUCUUUUGUUUACUUUUUUUUCCCCUUGUGCUGACUAGAAUAAAUGAUACUAGCAUCAUCUUUAAGGAUUUUUUUCCCUCAUCAAAACCCAGCACAUACCAGAGAUGAAUCUUUCAUAAAGCA